rnacentral:lncRNA from 1 species
UCACAUGAGAUUAAUUUUAUUACCCCAAACUUUUAUGUGACCAUAAAUUCACAGCAAACCUUACUUAGGCAAAUCUCAAAAGUAAAUAAGUUUCUCUUCCUUUUUAAUUUUCCUGUUCCUAUCCUCUGCCAGGACCUGAGUUAACUGCUGCUAGAGAUACAAAGAUCAGUAAGAUGCAGUCCCUAAAUAUUCUGGCUGGGUGAGGUGUACAAGGCUUUUUAAAAUAAAUUUUUUUUAUUAACAGAAUAAAACAUGAUCAUUGUCUAAAUUUUGGAAACGGGUAAAAAGCAUAAAGAAAAAAUAAAAUUACUCAAUAUUACACUAUCCAGAUAUAACCUCCUAUAACACUUUGAUGCAUUUUCUCUGGUCUUUAUACAAUUAGAAUAUUAUUGAUACGAUUCUGCAUACAGCUUUCUUUGUUGUUUAGCAUUAUACUAUAAGCAAGUCUCAUAUUAUUACAAUACUUAACAAUCAUAACUUUCAAUAACUGCAUGGUAGCGCACUAUAAAUAUGGCAAGCAGCCAGCAACAGAGGAAGGCUUUCUGGAGAUGCUAAUAUUUCUACUGAAUCUUAAUGGAAUGUGUUGAUAGGGUGGAAUGGAUAGUGGGACUCAAGGAAGGGAAAAGCAUCUGAAAAGUAUUCCAGAACUACUAGAGGCAAGAGAAACAUAGGAUUUUGUCAGAAAUCUGAAAGAGUUCAGAACUACUGGAGUACAGAGUUCAGUUGGGAAUGACAGAAAACAAUACUAGAGAGAUACACAAGGGCCAAAUCAUGAAGAGGAAAGGUAACCUGGACUAUGCAAUCAUGUGCUGAGCACUAGGCACAAUUUUGUAUAUGUUGUGAAGGGCUUUCUACUCUAUGCUAGAAGUUUGAAACUUACCACUGAGGCAAUGGGAGGUGGAGAUGGAGUGGUCAAUGAGAGAUUUUAAGCUGGGAAGUUACAUGAUUAACUUGGUAAUUUACAAAAAUUGCUCCAAGAAUUAUGUUUAUGAAGAUGUUUUAAAAUAUAAGUUAAGAGAAAUAAGCAAGACAGUACUAAAGCAAGUUGGAGGCUUUUAUUUCCAAGACUUGGGUGGGGUACUGGGAGAACUACUACCUAUUUGUAGAAAAAUAGGAAAACAGUGCAAGAGGGACUGCUAUGUGGAGAUCAUUUGGGCAAAGGGUCAUUUGUGAGCUGCCUGCCUUUAAGUUACAAAUUAUGCUAGGUAUAUGGAUGAGCUAGCUCAUAAGAAUAUACUUGAUGAAAAGUAGCCUAGUAACAAUCUUGAGAAAUACUAAUAUUUAGGAACCAAGGUAGAGAGAAAGUAAACCACCAAAAAAUUCUAAUAACAAGCAGCCAGACAGGUAGAAGAAGUAGGAGCGAUUCCUUUCAUCUAAACCAAUGCAGGACAAGAAUUUCAAGGAAGGAAGGAUUAAGGGUUUCAAUUUCCAUAGACCAGCAGUCAAGUAAAAUAAAUACAGGAAACUGCCUAUGGGAUUUGGUGCUUCUGAGUCAUUGGUGACAUUUCCAAGAGUAGCUUUAGUAGACUAAUGGUGGAAGAGGCCAGGCUGCCAUGGAUUAAACAGUUAAUGGGAAGUAAAGUCAAAAUACAAUGUUCCUUUUUCAGGAAAUGUGGCUGUAUUUUCACUAGAGAGAAGUUGUCAUUUAACAGCUAUUUAGUCUGCCUCCGUGGAAAACAAUCAGCAUAAAUUUCCUUCUUUCUCCUUUAAAUUUACAAUUAAUUUUCAGAAUUGAAAUAAAGUUUUGCUCAGCAUGGAGAUUAUUACAAGGAUGAAUUAAAUAAAAUAUGAAAGGGAUUCACACAGGGCCUGGUACCUAGGAGAAACCCAACAAUGUUAGUUUUCUGAAAGAAUUACAUCAAAAGAAUAACACUGGUCAUGGGAGAUAACUGAUAGGAAGGAGUUUUUCUUUUCUGUCUUGUCCAAUUUUUCUAAAAUAUAAUUUGUUAUUUUUAUAUCUUGAUGUUUCCAUUCCCCAGAAGUGUGAAAAUAAAAAAUCACCAGUGUGAAAUCUCAGUUUACAGUAUGAAAUCAUAUCUGUGAAAUCAAAGCACAGUUUAACUCAUUAAGUAUUGGGAACUGAUAACCUAUAUUCAAGGCACAAACAUUAAUACAACAGAUCUCUGCAUUGAAAUAUAUACCGAAAUAAAUGUAGUAUUUAGUACCAUAUCUGAUACAUAAAAAGUGAUUAAUACAUAAAUGAAUAAGUGAAAAAAUCUGUGGUAAAUUGAGUGAAUGAGGCGGUGCCAAGUUGAAUAAAUGACAUAAUUCAUGAACUUGCAUAAAAGCCUUACCCAGGAGUCUGUUCUAAUCCUGCCACUCAAUAAAUGGUUCAGUGAAUCUCAACUUUUAAUACCUCAUUUGUGAAAUGGGCAAAACAAAUAUCUUACAUAUGGGUGUUUUUAAAGAUAAACUAAUCACUUAAGAAGCACUUACUCCAUGUCCAGGGUAUAUGUGACUUGAACCCUGGCCAAUGAUCUGGAGCAGAGGAGCACACAAUCAAAUCAAGACUCACCAGAAAGAGCUGCAAAUGGAACCCUUAUUCCCAAUGCCUCAUAGGUCCAUAGAAGGCAGGAACUUUCCACUCCGUUCCCCUGGAGGGAAACAUAUGAAAGCACACUCUUCACUCACUCCUCCUAGGAGAGGUGGAGCAACCUCCCUGAUAGGUGGGUUGAAGACAAGGAACUGAACAUGCUUGGCUCAAUGCUUUCUGGGGUCCUGUUUUCUGCAGAGGUGCACUCUGGUAUACUUUGUGCGCACCUGCAGUUGUCCCGCUGUGCCAGUGCUUGAGUCAGUAAGUCUAUCUUCCUCAAGAGUAAAAUAUUAAGAAGUUCAUUACGGCUGCACAUAUAAGCCAUGUUCUGUCUUCCAGCGUUUGCUGUGAAUAACAUAGACACUUCGCUCUCCAUCUCUCUCACUUGUUCCUGAACUCAGGUGCUGGAAGACACGAAGACUUUCUUCCCUUCUAAAAUUCCCAGAGGAUUCAUUGCCCGUCAUCCCAUAGAAAAGGAGUCAUUUGGGAAAAUGUAGCAGUAUCGCAGGAACUUCUUUCACUUUUUAUCUUUCAGAGAACACACUCAAACCAGUUGCCAUCUUGCCAAAACUGCAGAAAAAUAGGGAGCCAGGCUUAACUGUGUCAGAGAGCUAGUCCUUUUUUUUUUUUUUAAACUUCUUCACAUCCAGCUCAUUUCCUGUGCUCAUUAAGUUCUGGUCACCAAAUGUCCUACCUCAGUGAUAUUAACUUCAUUUUUCAUUUUUCCUCACUACCAUUUCAUAGAUAACUAGUAAGCUCUCCAAGAUAUGGUGGGUCAAAUCUGUACAGGCAGCUCUUUUCUAAGAUUUGGAUAAUAAAUCUUAUUAAAACACUCAUCUGAACCUUCCUUCAUUGGAUGUCACUAUCUAUGUCUAUUAUUGGUAGAUCUAUUUAUUCUAGGUUUAUUCACAGUUCUCUGUACCCUCCCUCACUACUCAUACAUUUCAUGGGUAGAGAUAAAUACAUACUUUUACUUUAUAGUCAGAUAUACACUUAAUAGAAUAAUAGAAUACCAGGCCACUACUAAGUGACUUAUUUAUAUUAGAUCAUAUCUCAUUAUCAUCAUUUUAUAAAUAAGGAAGUGGAGGUUCAAGAAAAUCAACUCACUUUCCCAUGGUCAUACAGCUUGAAAGUGACAGAACUAAGAAUUGACUUCAAGUCUGGUUAACUCUUGAGCUCACGUACUUAACUACUGCUUAUGGUUUUAGGUUGUGAAAUGGCUUUGGGGAGUUUUAUUUUGUUCUUAAGUUA